rnacentral:misc_RNA from 1 species
GAAGAUUUUGGCAGUGUUGAACAAACAGCCAAGCCAAAAAUAUAUAGAAAACCAAAUGCACUUACAGGGGACAGAGAUGCAUAAAACAAGGCCAGAUGUAGUAUCUUCUCACUGUGCAAAAUUAGUAGACGUUUCACAAAAGAAAAGGAACUUUUUUCUGGUGCAUUAUCAUAAUCUGAUUGAGGAAAUUUAUUCUUUCUCCUCUCAUAGCUGUAUAGUUGCAUCACAAUUAAUACAGCAAGGGAAUGCCAGAUAUUUUCCAGCAUGGAAACUUCUGGUUUAUAUCCAAAGGCAUAAGACACAUCAACCAUCCUCGACAACCACUUCUGAAAACUAAAACAGACGCUGCAUCCAUAAAUAAGAAAAAACACUAGAACUGCAUAAACUUUC